AGGAUUGGCUCGUUUGAGUCCUA
rnacentral:siRNA from 1 species